rnacentral:tRNA from 1 species
GUUGUCGUGGCCGAGUGGUUAAGGCGAUGGACAACAACCAUUUUGGGAUCUCCCGCGCAGGUUCGAAUCCUGCCGACAUCG